rnacentral:rRNA from 1 species
GAUGAACGCUAGCGGCAGGCCUAACACAUGCAAGUCGAGGGAGAAGCCCUUCGGGGCAGAAGCCGGCGCACGGGUGCGUAACGCGUAUGCAACCUACCUUUCACAGGGGGAUAGCCCGAAGAAAUUUGGAUUAAUACCCCAUAAUAUUAUUGGAUGGCAUCAUUUGAUAAUUAAAAUUACGAUGGUGAAAGAUGGGCAUGCGUCCUAUUAGCUAGUUGGAGUGGUAACGGCACCCCAAGGCUACGAUAGGUAGGGGUCCUGAGAGGGAGAUCCCCCACACUGGUACUGAGACAGGGACCAGACUCCUACGGGAGGCAGCAGUGAGGAAUAUUGGUCAAUGGUCGGAAGACUGAACCAGCCAUGCCGCGUGCAGGAAGAAUGCCUUAUGGGUUGUAAACUGCUUUUAUAUGGGAAGAAUAAGGAGUACGUGUACUUUGAUGACGGUACCAUAUGAAUAAAGCU